UUUUAGACAUAUCUUCUCAUGAACCAACCCUUUGAAAAAGACUAAUAUCAAUCAUGAUGCCCCUUUUGUUUUCAUCUUCAUCUUAUCUCUCCUUCUUCUUAUUUUUGGUCAUUUACUUUCCAAGCCAUCAUCCAUGUAUUGCUCGCAAGUCACUAGCUAACAAGCAGACUGUAUUAGAGGAGCUUUCAGGAAUCGCCAACAGAUCAAUACAAGACUUUCACAAGAAAAAAAAUGAUACUAAAGUCGUGUUUUCAGCAUGUAUGAUUUGCAUGUUAUUGUUGAGAUUAGACUAGACAUGCAGGUAGGGAAAUGAUUGGGUCUGAUUCGUCUUCAUCAACUUUGCCCCACGCAGAACGUUUGCUCAAGCCACCAAAAACAAAGGGUGCAAGAUGGUCAACAACUUAUGAAAUACACAUGGCUUCCAAGACUGGAAAUAAGAAGAAUUAUGGAGACAUUAUAGAGAUGGAUUACGACCCACCACACCGUAAACCACCCAUUCACAAUUAAUACAACAACCUAGAAAUUUUCCAUAUUUAUUUGUAUCCCGCAUAUAUACUAUUACAUCAUGACUCAACAGUAUUUAUCUCCUCUGUGUUAU